rnacentral:rRNA from 1 species
UACGUAGGCAGCGAGCGUUGUUCGGAGUUACUGGGCGUAAAGAGUGCGUAGGCGGUUUUCUAAGUUUGGUGUGAAAUCUCCCGGCUUAACUGGGAGGGUGCGCCGAAGACUGGAAGGCUUGAGUAUGGGAGAGGUAAGCGGAAUUCCUGGUGUAGCGGUGAAAUGCGUAGAUAUCAGGAGGAACACCUGCGGUGUAGACGGCUUACUGGACCAUAACUGACGCUGAGGUGCGAAAGCGUGGGGAGCAAACAGG